rnacentral:misc_RNA from 1 species
AACAACCAUCGUCAUAAAUUGGGAAUAAACGCCGAGUGACCGUGACAUUGAGGACACUGACCUCUUUUGGUACGUCGAUUUUGAACGGGCGGAUGCUCUCGUCAACUUUUCGCGGUUGUCCAGGUCCCCACCAUUGGUCGUUUGGAACGACUGGUGCUUUGAGUUCUUGGCCACAGUUACUACUGAGAAUAAUAUCAACGAAUUAAAUCAAAAAGAUCACCUCUAUUUUAGCAGACAAUUCCAUCUUUAGCGCUAAUUUGGUUGCUAGCGAAGAACUACUAAAACUUGCAGUUGCGAAAAUCGACUUCGCACCAAUUAGAUUUUUAUUGGUUUCAGAAGUUGAAAUUCAUCGGUAGGAACAAAAGUUUCAGGGAAUAUACCUCCGAUUCUUUGCUUUUGUCAACUUCAUGAUUCAGUCUUGGAUUGGAAAGUACGAUGUGUGACCCCAAGACUU